rnacentral:rRNA from 1 species
GCAACGAGCGCAACCCUUAUCAUUAGUUGCUACGCAAGGGCACUCUAAUGAGACUGCCGGUGACAAACCGGAGGAAGGUGGGGAUGACGUCAAGUCCUCAUGGCCCUUAUGGGUAGGGCUUCACACGUCAUACAAUGGUCGGUACAGAGGGUUGCCAAGCCGCGAGGUGGAGCCAAUCCCAGAAAGCCGAUCGUAGUCCGGAUUGUUCUCUGCAACUCGAGAGCAUGAAGUCGGAAUCGCUAGUAAUCGCGGAUCAGCAUGUCGCGGUGAAUACGUUCCCGGGUCUU